GGACCUUUAGCUCAGUUGGUUAGAGCAGACGGCUCAUAACCGUCCCGUCGUAGGUUCAAGUCCUACAAGGUCCA
rnacentral:tRNA from 2 species